UGCAAGUCGAGCGAACAGAUAAGGAGCUUGCUCCUUUGACGUUAGCGGCGGACGGGUGAGUAACACGUGGGUAACCUACCUAUAAGACUGGGAUAACUUCGGGAAACCGGAGCUAAUACCGGAUAACAUUUGGAACCGCAUGGUUCUAAAGUGAAAGAUGGUUUUGCUAUCACUUAUAGAUGGACCCGCGCCGUAUUAGCUAGUUGGUAAGGUAACGGCUUACCAAGGCGACGAUACGUAGCCGACCUGAGAGGGUGAUCGGCCACACUGGAACUGAGACACGGUCCAGACUCCUACGGGAGGCAGCAGUAGGGAAUCUUCCGCAAUGGGCGAAAGCCUGACGGAGCAACGCCGCGUGAGUGAUGAAGGGUUUCGGCUCGUAAAACUCUGUUAUUAGGGAAGAACAAACGUGUAAGUAACUGUGCACGUCUUGACGGUACCUAAUCAGAAAGCCACGGCUAACUACGUGCCAGCAGCCGCGGUAAUACGUAGGUGGCAAGCGUUAUCCGGAAUUAUUGGGCGUAAAGCGCGCGUAGGCGGUUUCUUAAGUCUGAUGUGAAAGCCCACGGCUCAACCGUGGAGGGUCAUUGGAAACUGGGAAACUUGAGUGCAGAAGAGGAAAGUGGAAUUCCAUGUGUAGCGGUGAAAUGCGCAGAGAUAUGGAGGAACACCAGUGGCGAAGGCGACUUUCUGGUCUGUAACUGACGCUGAUGUGCGAAAGCGUGGGGAUCAAACAGGAUUAGAUACCCUGGUAGUCCACGCCGUAAACGAUGAGUGCUAAGUGUUAGGGGGUUUCCGCCCCUUAGUGCUGCAGCUAACGCAUUAAGCACUCCGCCUGGGGAGUACGACCGCAAGGUUGAAACUCAAAGGAAUUGACGGGGACCCGCACAAGCGGUGGAGCAUGUGGUUUAAUUCGAAGCAACGCGAAGAACCUUACCAAAUCUUGACAUCCUUUGAAAACUCUAGAGAUAGAGCCUUCCCCUUCGGGGGACAAAGUGACAGGUGGUGCAUGGUUGUCGUCAGCUCGUGUCGUGAGAUGUUGGGUUAAGUCCCGCAACGAGCGCAACCCUUAAGCUUAGUUGCCAUCAUUAAGUUGGGCACUCUAGGUUGACUGCCGGUGACAAACCGGAGGAAGGUGGGGAUGACGUCAAAUCAUCAUGCCCCUUAUGAUUUGGGCUACACACGUGCUACAAUGGACAAUACAAAGGGCAGCUAAACCGCGAGGUCAUGCAAAUCCCAUAAAGUUGUUCUCAGUUCGGAUUGUAGUCUGCAACUCGACUACAUGAAGCUGGAAUCGCUAGUAAUCGUAGAUCAGCAUGCUACGGUGAAUACGUUCCCGGGUCUUGUACACACCGCCCGUCACACCACGAGAGUUUGUAACACCCGAAGCCGGUGGAGUAACCAUUUAUGGAGCUAGCCGUC
rnacentral:rRNA from 1 species